UGCGACCCCAGGUCAGGCGGGAUUACCCGCUGAGU
rnacentral:rRNA from 1 species